GCAGCCUGAGGCCUGUGCCAGAUGCAGCGGUCCCAGAAUCAGAUGUACCUGUAGCCUACAAAAGGGACCUGCACACACAGCUCGCAGACUCCAGAAUGAGCCUCCUACUGCCACGGAACUCAGAGGCAGCGGCGCUUGGCAACAGUGACAUCAUGGGGUUCCAUCACCCCAUCACAGUGGCCCCCUCCCCAGGGUAAAGACCAGGGGUGUGAUGGCUGAGACCUACGGUGAGCCUGAGCUGACCUUUAUAUAAAAAACUUAAAGUUCUUUCCAGCGUGGCUGUGCCAUGUCUCUUUCCCACCAGUGAUGUCUUAGAAUUUCUGUCGCUCCACAUCCCUGUCAGCCCUUGAGAUUUUCAUUCACUUUUAUUUAGACAUUCUAAUAGGUGUGCGGUGGGAUUUGAUUGUGGUUUCAGUUUGCCUGACAGUGCUGAGCAUCUUGUCAUGGCUUUAUUUAAAAAUUCCAUUUUAUUUGUACUUGUUUUUGUGGGGUUCAGUGUGCUGUUUCCAUACAUGUACAUGCUGCAGAAUGAGUGGCUUCGAGUAGACAGCAGUUUUGUACCCAUUAGUCUACACCUCCUCCUCCCCACCUCCCUCCCCUCCCAGCCUCUGGUAAACAUUACUCUGCUUUUAUGAGAACCACUUUUUUAUUUCUCUUUGCUUACCCAUAUGGGUGAGACUGAUACAGGAGUUGCUCAGUUACCUGGGGUCGGGUUUCAGGACAUGCCUGUGAGUUUCCUGCCACUCCCUGAGGUCUCAGGCCCCCUCCUCUGAGUUCU